UAAAGGAAGCGAUUCCGGCUACGGAUGGUCAUGCGUCGCAUUAGCUAGUUGGCGGGGUAACGGCCCACCAAGGCGACGAUGCGUAGGGGUUCUGAGAGGAAGGUCCCCCACACUGGUACUGAGACACGGACCAGACUCCUACGGGAGGCAGCAGUGAGGAAUAUUGGUCAAUGGCCGCAGGGCUGAACCAGCCAAGUCGCGUGAGGGAUGACGGUCCUAUGGAUUGUAAACCUCUUUUGUCAGGGAGCAAAGGGCGCCACGUGUGGCGUUUUGCGAGUACCUGAAGAAAAAGCAUCGGCUAACUCCGUGCCAGCAGCCGCGGUAAUACGGAGGAUGCGAGCGUUAUCCGGAUUUAUUGGGUUUAAAGGGUGCGCAGGCGGAAUGUCAAGUCAGCGGUAAAAUUUCGGGGCUCAACCCCGUCGUGCCGUUGAAACUGGCGUUCUUGAGUGAGCGAGAAGUAUGCGGAAUGCGUGGUGUAGCGGUGAAAUGCAUAGAUAUCACGCAGAACUCCGAUUGCGAAGGCAGCAUACCGGCGCUCAACUGACGCUCAUGCACGAAAGCGUGGGUAUCGAACAGGAUUAGAUACCCUGGUAGUCCACGCAGUAAACGAUGAAUACUAACUGUCCGGGCAGAAUGAUGCCUGG
rnacentral:rRNA from 1 species